ensembl:misc_RNA 7SK 7SK RNA
GCAUGUGAGGAUGGUUUGGUUGUGACACCUGUCACUCCACUGACUGCCAGGGCUGAGCUGGCUGACCUGGCCGGCUAGGCGGGUGUCACCUUCCUCCCUCACAGCUCCAUGUGUCCCUCCUGAAGCUGCACAAUCCAUGGAAGAGGACCAUCAUCCCUGACCAGAGGCCCAUUUCCUCCCCUGCUAGCACCUCCAUACAGGCUCUCAAGAUGGCUCUCUAGCUGAGGAUAUAGCUUAGCAGGCACAGGGCCUGCCUG